rnacentral:rRNA from 1 species
AUGCACGCUAGCUACAGGCUUAACACAUGCAAGUCGCGGGGCAGCAUGGGGGUUGCUUGCAAUCCCCGAUGGCGACCGGCGCACGGGUGAGUAACGCGUAUCCAACCUGCCCUUCACCACGGGAUAACCCGGCGAAAGUCGGACUAAUACCGUAUGUUGUCCAUUGACGGCAUCCGAUUUGGACGAAAGGCUUGGCGGUGAGGGAUGGGGAUGCGUCCGAUUAGCCAGACGGCGGGGUAACGGCCCACCGUGGCUACGAUCGGUAGGGGUUCUGAGAGGAAGGUCCCCCACACUGGAACUGAGACACGGUCCAGACUCCUACGGGAGGCAGCAGUGAGGAAUAUUGGUCAAUGGGCGUAAGCCUGAACCAGCCAAGUAGCGUGCAGGAUGACGGCCCUAUGGGUUGUAAACUGCUUUUAUGCGGGGAUAAAGUGGCCCACGGGUGGGCUUUUGCAGGUACCGCAUGAAUAAGGACCGGCUAAUUCCGUG